UUCGAAACAGUCCUUUAAUAUUCAGCAUUAAUGUCACUGAGCACACUGGCAAAUUGGCGAAUCUGACCGGCGCACUGCCUACGUACCGAGUAUUGCACUACGAUAACGACACCAUGAUACUGGGUAAUAAAAAUCCAGGCUUAUGGGACAGAGUAUUAUGUUCACUCUGGGUGACCAGCAGAUACUAUAGAGCAAAACAACUUAAAGAACUGCCUCCCCUGGCAAUGGUAACUUUCGAGAAUAUCUGCAAAGGACCCAAAUUCAUUCCAUAUCCUGAAACCUGCGUGGAUUGAUAUAAAGAAUAAUAAUAAAAUUGUGUUUGAAAUAUU